AUGAACGCUGGCGGCGUGCCUAAUACAUGCCAGUCGAGCGAACGGACGAGAAGCUUGCUUUUCUGAUGUUAGCGGCGGACGGGUGAGUAACACGUGGAUAACCUACCUAUAAGACUGGGAUAACUUCGGGAAACCGGAGCUAAUACCGGAUAAUAUUUUGAACCGCAUGGUUCAAAAGUGAAAGACGGUCUUGCUGUCACUUAUAGAUGGAUCCGCGCUGCAUUAGCUAGUUGGUAAGGUAACGGCCUACCAAGGCAACGAUGCAUAGCCGACCUGAGAGGGUGAUCGGCCACACUGGAACUGAGACACGGUCCAGACUCCUACGGGAGGCAGCAGUAGGGAAUCUUCCGCAAUGGGCGAAAGCCUGACGGAGCAACGCCGCGUGAGUGAUGAAGGUCUUCGGAUCGUAAAACUCUGUUAUUAGGGAAGAACAUAUGUGUAAGUAACUGUGCACAUCUUGACGGUACCUAAUCAGAAAGCCACGGCUAACUACGUG
rnacentral:rRNA from 1 species